CUUGAAGACGCCCCCGCAGCCUUUAUUCGCUCCCUCCCGAGAAAUCCUCUUUCCUCCAGGGCCGCGCAGCCCCUGCUCCCGCCGCCCCGCUCCAGACUCCUGGAGGAAGAGUGCCCAGCUGGCUGGGAAUGAGUCACGCUAGGAGAGGAAGGGGCUUCAGCCCAUAAAUGGACAAAGCUCCAGCUGAGUUUCGGUCUCUAGGAAAGGGCCAGCCUCUGCCCUCUCCCCCGAACGAAGGAAUUCCCCCAGAAGAGGAAGGCGUCUGGGACCGGCUUUGACAGGAUGGGAUUCUAGAAAUAGCUGAGCUUUUUAGGAGGGCUUGAAGCCUUGGCCAGACAAAAGCUCCAGGAGACAGACAGAUUCAAUCAAGACACCGGUGCACCGAUUUGCACUGAAAAACAGCCCCGCUGCUGGAGCAACCAAACACUCCGGAUGCUGACAGACACAUUCCCCACCACCAGCGAUGCCACACAAGGGAGCCCAAGUUCAGGGAGAAGGUCACCCGGGCAGCAUGGAAGCUGCCAAGGAGACCUGGCCAAGUGGUCUUCACAGAACAGCAAGUGAUACAUGCAGG
ensembl:lncRNA